UACGUAGGGUGCAAGCGUUGUCCGGAAUUAUUGGGCGUAAAGAGCUCGUAGGCGGUUUGUCGCGUCUGCUGUGAAAACCCGAGGCUCAACCUCGGGCCUGCAGUGGGUACGGGCAGACUAGAGUGCGGUAGGGGAGAUUGGAAUUCCUGGUGUAGCGGUGGAAUGCGCAGAUAUCAGGAGGAACACCGGUGGCGAAGGCGGGUCUCUGGGCCGAUACUGACGCUGAGGAGCGAAAGCGUGGGGAGCAAACAGG
rnacentral:rRNA from 1 species